GGGGUUAGUGGCGGACGGGUGAGUAACACGUGGGAACGUGCCUUUAGGUUCGGAAUAGCUCCUGGAAACGGGUGGUAAUGCCGAAUGUGCCCUUCGGGGGAAAGAUUUAUCGCCUUUAGAGCGGCCCGCGUCUGAUUAGCUAGUUGGUGAGGUAACGGCUCACCAAGGCGACGAUCAGUAGCUGGUCUGAGAGGAUGACCAGCCACACUGGGACUGAGACACGGCCCAGACUCCUACGGGAGGCAGCAGUGGGGAAUCUUGCGCAAUGGGCGAAAGCCUGACGCAGCCAUGCCGCGUGAAUGAUGAAGGUCUUAGGAUUGUAAAAUUCUUUCACCGGGGACGAUAAUGACGGUACCCGGAGAAGAAGCCCCGGCUAACUUCGUGCCAGCAGCCGCGGUAAUACGAAGGGGGCUAGCGUUGCUCGGAAUUACUGGGCGUAAAGGGCGCGUAGGCGGAUCGUUAAGUCAGAGGUGAAAUCCCAGGGCUCAACCCUGGAACUGCCUUUGAUACUGGCGAUCUUGAGUAUGAGAGAGGUAUGUGGAACUCCGAGUGUAGAGGUGAAAUUCGUAGAUAUUCGGAAGAACACCAGUGGCGAAGGCGACAUACUGGCUCAUUACUGA
rnacentral:rRNA from 1 species